AUGCUCUUUUCAGCAGCACAUAUACUAAAAUUGGUACUAUGCAGAGAAGUUUAGCAUGGUCUUUGUGCAAGGAAGACGCUUCCAUUUGUAGUGCACCCUAUUUAA